GAUGAACGCUGGCUACAGGCUUAACACAUGCAAGUCGAGGGGAAACGACGGGGAAGCUUGCUUCCCCGGGCGUCGACCGGCGCACGGGUGAGUAACGCGUAUCCAACCUGCCUCUGACUGAGGGAUAACCCGUCGAAAGUCGGCCUAAUACCUCAUGGUAUCGUCUGCGGGCAUCCAACGACGAUUAAAGAUUUCAUCGGUCAGGGAUGGGGAUGCGUCUGAUUAGCUUGUUGGCGGGGUAACGGCCCACCAAGGCUACGAUCAGUAGGGGUUCUGAGAGGAAGGUCCCCCACGUUGGAACUGAGACACGGUCCAAACUCCUACGGGAGGCAGCAGUGAGGAAUAUUGGUCAAUGGGCGAGAGCCUGAACCAGCCAAGUAGCGUGCAGGAAGACGGCCCUAUGGGUUGUAAACUGCUUUUAUGCGGGGAUAAAGUGAGGGACGUGUCCCUCAUUGCAGGUACCGCAUGAAUAAGGACCGGCUAAUUCCGUGCCAGCAGCCGCGGUAAUACGGAAGGUCCUGGCGUUAUCCGGAUUUAUUGGGUUUAAAGGGAGCGUAGGCCGUGGAUUAAGCGUGUUGUGGAAUGCAGGUGCUCAACGUCUGCACUGCAGCGCGAACUGGUCCACUUGAGUGUGCGCAACGCAGGCGGAAUUCGUCGUGUAGCGGUGAAAUGCUUAGAUAUGACGAAGAACUCCGAUUGCGAAGGCAGCUUGCGGGAGCACAACUGACGCUGAAGCUCGAAAGUGCGGGUAUCGAACAGG
rnacentral:rRNA from 1 species